rnacentral:rRNA from 1 species
AGAGUUUGAUCCUGGCUCAGGACGAACGUUGGCGGCGUGCUUAACACAUGCAAGUCGAGCGGUUGAGAGGUGGGAGGUGAGAGGUUAGAAGUGAGAGAAAGAAAAGAAUUCGUUUUAGUCGAAUUCUAAUCUCAAGUUCUCACAUCCAACAUCUCACAUCUCACUUCUCAAUAGCGGCGGACGGGUGAGUAACGCGUGGAUAAUCUGCCUGUAAGACAGGGAUAACGCCGGGCCGCAAUCCUCUUUGAACCGCAUGAUCUAAAGAGAAAAGGUGGCCUCUUUACAAUGCUACCACUUACAGAUGAAUCCGCGUCCCAUUAGCCAGUUGGUGGGGUAAUGGCCUACCAAAGCGACGAUGGGUAGCCGGCCUGAGAGGGUGACCGGCCACACUGGAACUGAGAUACGGUCCAGACUCCUACGGGAGGCAGCAGUGGGGAAUCUUCCGCAAUGGGCGAAAGCCUGACGGAGCAACGCCGCGUGAGCGAAGAAGGUUUUCGGGUCGUAAACUUCUGUCCUUAGUGAAGAGGAGUAGACGGUACCCAAGGAGGAAGCCCCGGCUAACUACGUGCCAGCAGCCGCGGUAAUACGUAGGGGGCAAGCGUUGUCCGGAAUUAUUGGGCGUAAAGGGCGCGUAGGCGGAUCGUUAAGUCCGGUGUGAAAGAUCAGGGCUCAACCCUGAGAGUGCAUCGGAAACUGGUGAUCUUGAGGACAGGAGAGGAAAGUGGAAUUCCUAGUGUAGCGGUGAAAUGCGUAGAUAUUAGGAGGAACACCAGUGGCGAAGGCGACUUUCUGGACUGUAACUGACGCUGAGGCGCGAAAGCGUGGGGAGCAAACAGGAUUAGAUACCCUGGUAGUCCACGCCGUAAACGAUGAGUGCUAGGUGUAGAGGGUAUCGACCCCUUCUGUGCCGCAGCUAACGCAAUAAGCACUCCGCCUGGGGAGUACGGCCGCAAGGUUGAAACUCAAAGGAAUUGACGGGGGCCCGCACAAGCGGUGGAGCAUGUGGUUUAAUUCGACGCAACGCGAAGAACCUUACCAAGACUUGACAUCCCGUGAUCGCCGUGGAAACACAGUCUUUCGCCUUCGGGCGAACACGGAGACAGGUGGUGCAUGGUUGUCGUCAGCUCGUGUCGUGAGAUGUUGGGUUAAGUCCCGCAACGAGCGCAACCCCUACAGCUAGUUGCCAGCACGUGAUGGGGGGAUCUAGCAGAACUGCCGUUGACAAAACGGAGGAAGGUGGGGAUGACGUCAAAUCAUCAUGCCCCUUAUGUCUUGGGCUACACACGUACUACAAUGGCCUGAACAGAGGGAAGCAAAACUGCGAAGUUAAGCGAACCCCUUAAAACAGGUCCCAGUUCGGAUUGUAGGCUGCAACUCGCCUACAUGAAGUCGGAAUCGCUAGUAAUCGCAGGUCAGCAUACUGCGGUGAAUACGUUCCCGGGCCUUGUACACACCGCCCGUCACACCAUGAGAGUCUGAAACACCCGAAGUCUGCGGGCUAACCGCAAGGAGGCAGCCGUCCAAGGUGAGGUUAGUGACUGGGGUGAAGUCGUAACAAGGUAACC